rnacentral:rRNA from 1 species
UACGAAGGGGGCUAGCGUUGCUCGGAAUCACUGGGCGUAAAGCGCACGUAGGCGGAUUCUUAAGUCAGGGGUGAAAUCCUGGAGCUCAACUCCAGAACUGCCUUUGAUACUGAGGGUCUUGAGUUCGGGAGAGGGAUGCGGAAUUCCAGGUGUAGCGGUGAAAUGCGUAGAUAUCUGGAGGAACACCGGUGGCGAAGGCGGCAUCCUGGACCGACACUGACGCUGAGGAGCGAAAGCCAGGGGAGCAAACGGG